rnacentral:tRNA from 1 species
GCCCGGGUAGCUCAGUGGUAGAGCAGUGGAUUGAAAAUCCUCGUGUCGGUGGUUCGACUCCGCCCCCGGGCACCA